rnacentral:rRNA from 1 species
UAAAGUUGUUGCAGUUAAAAAGCUCGUAGUUGAAUUUCGGGGUCUAUCCGUUGGUCGGGCUUUUGGGUCCGUACUGGCGUUAUGGAUUCCUACCUUCUGAAUAACCGGCAUGCCAUUAAUUUGGUGCGCUGGGGAAGCAGGACUGUUACCUUGAAAAAAUUAGAGUGCUUAAAGCAGGCUAUUGCCUGAAUACAUUAGCAUGGAAUAAUGAAAUAGGACGGCAUGGUUCUAUUUUGUUGGUUUCUAGGAUCACCGUAAUGAUUAAUAGGG